UACGAAGGGGGCUAGCGUUGUUCGGAAUUACUGGGCGUAAAGCGCACGUAGGCGGAUACUUAAGUUAGGGGUGAAAUCCCGGGGCUCAACCCCGGAACUGCCUCUAAUACUGGGUAUCUCGAGUUCGAGAGAGGUGAGUGGAAUUCCGAGUGUAGAGGUGAAAUUCGUAGAUAUUCGGAGGAACACCAGUGGCGAAGGCGGCUCACUGGCUCGAUACUGACGCUGAGGUGCGAAAGCGUGGGGAGCAAACAGG
rnacentral:rRNA from 1 species